UUUUGGGCUGCUAAAGCCACUAAAAUGGGAUAUUCCUGGAUAGUUGGGAAUGGCAAUAGUGUUAGAUUCUGGAAAAACCAGUGGAUUGGGCAUACCACCCUUGAUAUCCAAUAUUGGGACUUGUACACUAUUGCCAAUGACCAUGAUAUUACCCUCAGUGAAGUUUGGGAUGGCACUAACCUGGAAAUUACUUUUAGGAGGUGUUUUGACCAAAAAAUGUUAGCUGAAUGGAAUGAUCUGUUUAGUCGCAUUAUUAAUGUUGUUCUGGAGGAUAAGGAAGAUACCAUCCUCUGGAAUUAUGAAGCUAAGGAUGUUUACACUGUUAAAUCUUUUUACAACAUUGUUAAUUUUAGGGGAUGCAGCCGGGUAACCUGCCAAUUGUUUGGAAAAUCAAUGCCCCCCUGA
rnacentral:rRNA from 1 species